rnacentral:snoRNA from 1 species
GCCCUCCAAAUUCCUUACCUCUCAGAUCUAAAUAUUUGUCUGAGUGGCUAAAAAAAAGGAGGAAAAGUAAAACUGAAAUAGAUUUGGAGUCUUUGGUGACAAACAGUUUCAUUUUGACCAUAG